rnacentral:piRNA from 1 species
AAGAAUUACAAGUAUAUACUCACAGUU